rnacentral:lncRNA from 1 species
GGAAAGCUGUGUGAUCUUAAGCAAGAUCGUAUGUAACCUUCCUUGGCCUCAGUUUCCCCAAUUGUAGAAUGAGGAUACUAGUAUCCACCUUAUACAUACUAAUUGUCUCGUAAAGAAGGAAGGUAAUAAUGCAUGUAAAUGCUCAGCAUAGAGCCUGGUUCAUGCAGCUGCAUUCUUUAAUCAAAUGCUUCUAAGAUCAAUUAGAUGACAAGUAUUGCACGAGGCUAUGGGGCUUCAUAAGUGAAUAAGAUAAAGAUUCUGACCUGCAGUCCUUAUAUUCUAAGGGGGGAUGGCAACUAUACGAACGAAUACUUCGGUGGGGAUGUGAUGUGGCAUGGCAAAGAGAGUGUACUGACAUGGUGUCGAGUUUUGAAGAGUGGAUAAAAAUUCUCCCGGCAGAGGACCUGACAAAACUCUUCAAACUGCUCAGGUUAAGUAACCAUAUACCUUGAUGAGUGGGAAAAAAUAAUACAAUUUUAUUUUGGUUCCAAUCCAAUUUUUUAAAAAAAUUUAUUGGGGUAUGGUUGAUUUGUGGUGUUGUAUUAGCUUCAGGUUUACAGUAAAGUGAGUCAAAUAUAUAUAUAUAUAUAUACACACAUACCCAUUCUUUUUUCCCAUAUAGGUUAUUACAGAACAUUGAGCAGGCCUCCUUGUGCUAUAUAGUAGGUCCCUGUUAAUUAUCUAUUUUACAUUUAGUAGUGUGUAUGUGUUAAUCCCAUCCUCCUAAUUUAUGCCCCCACCCAUGGUUUCCCCAUUUGGUAACCAUAAAUUUGAUUUUGAAAUCAGUGAGUUUCUGUUUGUAAAUAAGUUCUUUUGUAUCAUUUUUAUUAGAUUCCACAUAUAAGUGAUAUCAUAUAAUAUUUGUCUCUCUCUGUCUGACUUACUUCACUUAAUAUGAUAAUCUCUAGGUCCAUCCAUGUUGCUGCAAGUGGCAAUAUUUCAUUAUUUUUAUGGCUGGGUAAUAUUCCAUUGUAUAUAUGUACCACAUCUUCUUAAUCCAUUCUUCUGUCAGUGGACAUUUAGGUUGCUUCCAUGUCUUGGCUAUUGUAAACAGUAAUGCUAUGAACAUUGGGGUUGCAUGUAUUUUUUUGAAUUAUCAUUUUCUCUAGAUGUAUGCCCGUGGGUGGGAUUGUUGGGUCAUAUGGUACUUCUGUAUUUAGUUGUUUUUUUUUUUUUAAGAAAUCUCCUUACUGUUCUCCACAGUGGUUGUACCAAAUUGCAUUCCUACCAACAGUGUAGGAAUCUUCCCUUUGCUCCACAUCAUUUCCAACAUUUAUGAUUUGUAGGCUUUUUAUUGAUGGCCAUUCUGAGGUGAUACCUUGUUGUAGGUUUGAUUUGCAUUUCUCUAAUAAUUAGUGAUGUUGAACAUCUUUUCAUGUGCCUUUUAGCCAUCUGUCUGUCUUCUUUGGAAAAAUGUCUAUUUAGAUCUUCUGACCAUUUUUCGAUUGGGCUGUUUGGUUUUUUUGUCCAGCCCAAUUUUUACAAAGUAGACUAAUUAAACAGGUAAAACAGAGCCUGCUCUUUGUAAGUUUCAUUCUCCUUUCCCCCAGCCAAGCAAGUAGAGCUGGGGACUCUGUGACAUCAGGAGGCCUGUUAGUAAAUAGAGCACAUUUUCCUGAGGUCCAGGCCAUGUGGUCUUCUCUUCUCUCAGUUCUUGGCCCAGAUCUACUCAGAACAUUACAGCAGAGUGACCUGUGAUGGAGUCCACUCUCUCAAGUACUCCCCAAAUUCCCUCUAACCUGUAUGGAAAGACUUUUCCAUAGAAAGUUUCAGUGUAAACCUUAAAAGGUUUAUAGAAGACCACUUUGGGAAUGUCCAUCAGGUUGGGCUUCCUGCCCCACAACCUGAUUGCCAUCCACCACUGGCACCUCACAAAAACAGUGGCUUUGGCAGAGAUGGAUCACAUUGCUGAGAAGGCUAGGUGAGUUAUUCCACAGCACACGCAAAUGCUCUAUCUGGCUGGGGCCCAGAUUUCAAGAGAUUUGGACAUGUUGUUUCACGAUGAGUGAAGGUGAUGUUUUCAAAAAUUUCCCCAGAAAAAAACUAGGAAGGAGUGAGAGAGUGGGCCCAUGAAGGUGAGGGGCAAGAAAAUGUACACUACCUUGGGUUUAUCCUGUAUGGGACUCACUGUGCUUCCUGGACUUGGGGGAGUGUUUCCUUCCCCAUGUUAGGGAAGUUUUCAGGUAUUAUCUCAUCAUAUAUUUUCUCCAGUACUUUCUCUCUUCUGAUUCAGGGAUGCCUAUAAUGCGAAUGUUGGUGCAUUUAAUGUUGUCCCAGAGGUCUCUUAAACUGUCCUCAUUUCUUUGAGGGAAGUUGGAUAAAGGGUAGCUUGGAUUAACCCCACAGGGGAGCUUGGAGUUGGUCCAGGCCACAUGCCAAGGCUGUCCUGAAGGGACAGCACAGGAGCUGGAGUGUUGAUACCUCCUAUUCUGUGGGCCAUGGGUUCUGUGUUGCUCCUGGGGGACAUGAGUUCCUGGGUGCUGCCUGUGCGCACAGGCCAGUGGAUUAUUGAUGACAUUCUACUGUGACUGCAGGAAGAAAAGCAUACAGGCAGGGCUCAAUUCAAAAUGAAAAUGUGGGAGCCCUUUUUGAAAAAGCAUGGAAAGGUGCCAUUAGAGGUACUAAAAUAAAAGCUUUUUCCAUUCUUCCAGUCUCUCUUCACUUGUCAUGGCUUUUGUUGCUUUUUUUUAAAUGCCACUAUUGAAUGCCACUCUAAGUAAAGGAAAAUUUAAAUUUUAAACGUUAGCAUAAAUUUUAGCCCUUUCAUUUCAAUAUUGUGUGGUGCCUAUUUUAAAUGCAAAUAUAAGAGCAUUUAACACAUGCUAAUCAUCAAAAUUACACAAUUUGCAUAUUUCAUUCUUACCGUAGCAGAAGAAAAGCUGCACAAAACUGACUCAUCUGCUUUUAUUUCACUUCUUGAGGCAUGCACAUUUUACCAACAAGCCCUACCUUCAGCUUACUGAUGAGUAAGGAAGGAUUGAAAGAGAAGGAACAAUGGGGGCCCUUAUCUUUUUCUUUCCUUCUCUGUCCUCAUUUUCAGGUCAGUCAGGUUGAUGCCUAAUGCAGGGAAGUAACAUGAGUAAGAAAGAACAAGAUAGGGCUCUUUGAUCAUCUGUGUUUCUUAGAAAACCACUGCCUUCUUUCUGGGUUAGAAGCACGUCUUGUUUCAGAUGGAAAGUGUGGCCUCUUGGGGCUGCUGGCAUCCUUCCCCGUCCGAUAACUCAGCUGGAGACGAAACACACUUAGCUGGCACUGGCUUUGCAUCUCCUUGAGGGUCCACUGGAAUUCUGUGCUCAUGGGAGCGUCUGUGGGAGUAGCAGCAAGAAAGGACAGACACACAGACCGUGUGUAUCUCCUCUGUUCCUGUGCAUGCUCCGUUGCCUGAUCAGAAUUCACUUACAAAAUACGAGUUGAAAGAAAAAACGUUUAAGACUUUUUAAAUGAUGACAGUAGCGCAUUAAACCCAGCAUAGGGUCUUUCUGAAGACGGAGUCCUGGGGACCACCCAUGUCACACACCGUGAUGCUGGCCCUGUGCACAGCAAGGCCGCAUGCAUGAAAACGGUCAUGGGAUCCCUGCAGGUGGAGUCUGAGAAAGAAACUUGGAAGCCAGCCCUGCACACUGGGCGUUUGUGGGGAAGGAGUCCAGGGCACCCUAAAAGAUUUGUUUCUAGAGCUAGAGCCCUGGAGCACAGGCCAUGCCAGGAAAGACGCGACAAAAAGAGACAGCGGGCCAAGUGAAGGGAGAAAAGCCGGAGAGCUGGUUCACUGGAACCGACUGGAAGCACCAGGGACGAUCUGGGAAAUGCAGCCAAGGGUCAAGGAGGGAAGCAAGACCAUAACUAGCAAAGGACUGUCAUAAACCAGCAGCCACUGGGAUCUGAUCCCAGGCCCGAGUGCCCUCCCUGGGUCCCUCUAAGCCUGUGAGCUACCCUCCACGCGCCUGGACUGGGCUCCUUGGAGGAGCCAGCCUUGCAGGACGGCAUGGCCUUCCAGGUCCUUCCUAUCAUUCUACCCUCUUGGUACAACUCAGACACCAUUGCUGGGAGCAUCUUCCCUGCCCUGCAGAGAACAACACUUCUGCAGAGUAUUUCCCAGUUAUUUCAUCAUGGACACAAGCCGGAACCCGGCUACAUUGAACAUGUGACGUGGGACGAGGUUAAGGGUCAUCCGCCUGCUCGCAGGGCACUGGGUCCCAGGGCUCAUCUGUGACUCUUUGCAGUCCAGCAGCAGGAGCCCGUGACUCGGGAGGUGUUUAGCUACCUGCAGGUCUCCUUCCACCACCCGUGACUCCACUGUCUGCGUUAACUCAGCACAGGGUUUCUCGACCGCGGCACUCUUAGUAAUCUUUUAGCUAAUAGCGACAAUUCUCUGUCUAGGAAACUGUGCUUUGCACCAGAGGCUGCUCAGUGGCCCCUGGCCUCUGCCCCCAUGAGAUGCCAUAACACGUCCCAGCUAUGACAACCAAAAAUGUCUCCAGACUUUGCCCACUGUCCCCUGGGGGCAUAAUCAGCCUUGGUGAGAAUCAACGACUUUGAGCAUGUGGGUCCCUGCUCGGUGCCGAUAGAAGAUACUGCUUUCAACUUCUGCUCUUAGCUAGAAAUAUUAUUCCACUUUUCCAUUAGCCUCUGUCAGCCAAAGCAUCUAUCACCUUGUCAUAUCCUUCACUCCUGGGUGUGUUAGUGAGGCUUUAGUGGGUAGUCAAGCCACUUGGUGUCAAGUCUCCAUGCUCCGUGUCCAUCCAGAAAGAGUUCUAGGAGCCUUUGGAAACUUCUCCAAAGCGUAUAUGUCCUGAGGCCUACUAAGAUUUUUAUUAGCAUACCAUCCCUUUUCUCUCUCUCUUAGGGUCCCGGAUACUAAAAUCUAGCAAGAGCUCAGGUUUGUCCUAUGGCUUAUCUGAUUUAAUCUGCAAAGAGAAAAAAAACCCCGUCCUAUAAAAGAGCAUAUCCGUGUGUACAGGUGGGGCAGUGGGGCUGGGAGGUAAUAAAAAACUUGCCCAAGACCACACACAGGAAGUAAACUGAAUUUGGGUCUUUCAGCUGCUAAUUAGAGGUCCUGGACUUCUAGCAGGGGUUCUCAACAUUAGCGCAUGUAAGAAUCACCCAGGUGUGUGUGUGUACAAUGCAAGUUCCCAGCACCCCACCCCCACCCCCCUCUACCACCCCCCCGCAACCACAGGGACUCAGUAGGCGGAUCUAGAGAAGCCCUAAGAAUCAGGGUUUUAAAGAGGCAUGUUCAGUGAUUCUGCUGCAGGGUGGCCUGUUUUUCAUCUGUCAACAGUACCUGUCCCAAGUCAAGUCAGGAGUUGUUUCUCACUUGUCAUUGACGGUGAGGAUGGGGAACCCUCAUUUUCAAGGAAAAGCACCAUUUAAGCUUACUUCCCUGAGUGUGAGUUCUGAGUCACUGUUUUCUCUGUCUCAGACACGGUAGAAUUUUAGGCCUGUUUUCUGUUGUGGAACGUGAGGACUAAUGGCCUGUGUCCGCAGAGCAGGAGUGUCCGAUCUCAUUCCUACAAUGCUUCACGGAGUUAGGAGUUCCUCUCUUUCAUCAAGGGGAGGCUGUUGCUGGUUGGGGUGGACAAUCGCCUGGAGCUGGAGAUGGUAGCGAGUCUAGCUCUGCUGUGAUUCCUGGCCCAGAGGGACAAUUAAGACAUGACCCUAUUGCUAGAGCUGUGCCCAGUGCACAAGGGUUAGUGUUUCUUCUGCUCAAGAGAAAGCAGUUUCAAAUAUUUUCUUUACUAAGAACAACCAACAGAUUCUGAUAAAGACAUUUUUGUUGGUAGCCAUUGAUUUCCCUCUUCCCCCAUCUUUCCUUCCAUCCUCAAUCUCUCCCUUCCUCCCUUCCCCCCUCCCCUCCUUCCCUCCCUUCUCCCCCACCCUGUCCCUCCCUCUGUCUCUCUUACUCUCCUCUUUUGAAUAGUUGACAACACAGGAUAGCACUGCUUAGAACCUCAUAAGAGGUAUACAGGCAAAGCCUCCCUCCUACUCCUAUUUCUAGCUAAGCUCCCCACCCCCAACUCUCAGCCACAUACACAUCCAUAGACACAGGUAAACUACUGGUGUUCAUUUGUUUCGCUUGCUAGAGUUUUUUUCAAUGUAUAUAUAAGUGAAUUUAAAUAGACAUCCUUAUCCCGCAGCCACAGCCUACAAAACCCACUGACCUGCACCUGCACCAUGCUCUUCUCACUUAGCAGGUUUCCAUACAUAAAGCCUCUAUUCAUUCCUUUUUACAGCACCAUAGUACUUCCAUUGUGUGGAUUUAUGUAAUUUAUUUAACCAGUUGUUCCUGGUAUUUUGCUCUUAUCAACGACGCUUUACCAGGUAACCUCCCACCGUGUUGUUUUUGCACCUGUGCAAGUGUAUCUUUAUACUUUGUUUUUUUUUUUUUUUGGCAUCUGAACAAGUAUAUCCGUAGGAUAAAUUCCUGCAAAUGACUCGGUCAACACGUAUGUGCUUGUGUAAUCCUGAUAGCUUCAGACAAGUCACCUGUCAUAGACAGGGCACUGACCACACUUCCUCCAAGGGUGUGGCAGUCCCUGUUGUGACUAGGCUUUGUUGGGAGGAGGAAGGGGUCAGAGAUUGUGGGUGGGUAUUUCAUCACAAUACUGGGCUGCCCAUCACACUGUGCCAGGUGUCAUCGUUGAAAUUCUUAUACAACCUAAGGAGGGAAUAUUUUAAUUUUUGAAAUUAUAACUAAAUAAAUUAGGCCUCUUUGGCUGCAAGUAAUAAAAUACCUUUCAGCUCGGCUUGGUGGGGGGUAGGUAGCGAGAAAGGAAGGAAAGUGGUCACCAUAGGACAAAGAUAUAGCUCGUGGUGCAGAAGUGUAGCUCUGCUCCCAGUUCAUACCUGGGGAGGGGCUGAGUGAAUGACUCAGUGUGUGUGAAGGUCUUUGAUUCUGAACUUGGGUGGGGCACAAGGUCCCAGGUCUGGGCAGCAGGGAACAGUAUAAAGCAUCAUGUGGUCCAAACUGGAAAUCUGGAGCCUACCACUCUGAGUGCGCUGAGCCACUGGGCAGAUAGAACCACAAAUAAAAUGAUUUAUUUUUGCCACUUUAAUAGUAUAACAAGAAAGAUGACAAAAAUAGAGCAGACACAAAAUGAAUCUAAGUACCCAGUAAAUCUCCCCUUUAAAUCACCCCAGCUGUUUCUGAGGUUAUCGUAUCGCUGUGGCAAAAAAUCAGUCGGGUAUGAACUGGGCAAAUUCUCAGCUCUGAAACUGUUUCUAUUCAGCAGGUAGUUUCCUAAAAAUUGGUUAUCAAAGAUGCUUUUGAGAGUACAAAUAAUUUUUUUAACAUUUUUUAAAACAAAAGCUUCUCUUUCAUGAGUAUCCAAAAAAAAUAAAAAUAAAAAUAAAAAA